rnacentral:misc_RNA from 1 species
AAGUCGUAACAAGGUUUUCGUAGGUGAACCUGCGUAAGGAUCAUUAACGAGCAAGCCAAUUCUUGGCAAGCUGUUUAAGCAAUGUUCAAGUCCCUGAGACCAGCUGCUGGCUCAGGGCGGCUUCAUUUGAAGCGACAACGGCUGCUACUCGCUUGUCAACUGCAGUGAGUUGAAUUGGAGCAGUUGCGCUGUUAGUGUUCCAGUGUUCAAGGCUGGGUGCCCAAAUCUGGCUUAAUUGCUAGGACUGUAUCCUCUGGAGAUGCAGUGGGCUGUAAAGUUGGCGUUCACUGGCGUUGACGC